UACGGGGGGGGUAAGCGUUGUUCGGAAUUACUGGGCGUAAAGGGCUCGUAGGCGGCCAACUAAGUCAGACGUGAAAUCCCCAGGCUUAACUUGGGAACUGCGUCUGAUACUGGAAGGCUUGAGUGCGGGAGAGGGAUGUGGAAUUCCAGGUGUAGCGGUGAAAUGCGCAGAUAUCGGGAGGAACACCUAUGGCGAAGGCAGCUGCUGGGACGGUACUGACGCUGAGACGCGAAAGCGUGGGGAGCAAACAGGAU
rnacentral:rRNA from 1 species